CAGACAGAUAACAACUUUUCAGUAUGACUUUAACUACAAGUAUAAUGUUUAUUUUGCUGUCAGUGAUUCAAGGUGUUUGCAGUCAGACGCUCACUGAGUCUGAACCAGUGAUAAAACGCCCUGGAGAUUCUCACAAACUGACCUGCACAUAUGCAGGGAUAUCAGAUGGUGAUGCUCGUAUCAGCUGGAUCAGACAGGCUGAAGGAAAAGGGUUGGAGUGGGUUGCUUACAUUUCUGCUCCGAGUGGAAGUGAUAAAUAUUAUUCUACAGCUGUCCAGAAUCGCUUCACCAUUUCCAGAGACAACAAUGUGGAUCAAGUGUAUCUGCACAUGAGCAGCUUGACAACUGAAGAUUCUGCCAUUUAUUAUUGUGCUCGAACACCACAGUGAUACAGGAAGCCACAGAGCUGCACACAAAACACUGCAGAUAUUGUUGUGAUAAUAACUGGUGUUUGCAGUCAGACAGUCACUGAGUCUGAACCAGUGAUAAAACGACCUGGAGAUUCUCACAAACUCACCUGUACAUAUGCAGGAAUAUCAGAUGGUUCUGCUGAUAUCAGCUGGAUCCAACAUACUGAAGGAAAAGGACUGGAGUGGGUUGCUCACAUUUCUGCUCCAAGUGGGGGCACUACAGUUUACUCCACAUCUGUCCAGAAUCGCUUCACCAUUUCCAGAGACAACAAUGUGGAUCAAGUGUAUCUGC